AACCAGAGCCCCUUUUUCUCCACUGCUGGCAACGAUAUUAGGAAUCCCACUAUGGCCACACCAAGACCCGUCCUUCAAUAGCAUUCACACACUACUAUUGGCCAGGCGUCCAUGUUUACAUGACAGGUCCCAUCCCCUGACCCAUCCCUAACCCUAACCUUAACCACUCAAGGUGAAAUGCCUAACCCCAACCAAUUGAGCUGUUUCGUAUUGGGGGACCUGGCAUGGCCAUAGUGGGAUUCAUAAUUUUUCCUGCUGGCAGCCGCU